AGCGGCCAUUCUGGUCUCCUUAGCCACAGCUUUGGCAACGACGGACUUGACAAUCUCCUGAGCCUUCGGGCAUGAGUGGUCAUAAUACUGCGGGUAGAGGUACCCACCACCACUAGCAGCAAAGCAAAGAGGAACGAGAGCAAGAACUGAGAAAAUUACUGCGAAGUUGUUGGACAUGGCCAUUUUGUCUCUCUUCUUCCUCUUCUAAGGAACCUACACUCUGUUCUAAGA
rnacentral:lncRNA from 1 species